rnacentral:rRNA from 1 species
AACGAACGUUGGCGGCGUGGAUUAGGCAUGCAAGUCGAACGAAUCCCAGCUUUGUAGCAAUACCGAGCUGGGGGAAGUGGCGAAAGGGGCAGUACUGCAUGGGUAACCUACCCCGGGGCCGGGGAUAGCAAUUCUAACGCGUGGGUAAUAACUGGCGCUUUGGUCGAGGGGCAUCUCUUGGCCAGGAACGGCAUUUCGCCUCGGGUGGGGUGCAUGUGAUAUUAGCUGUGUGGCGAGGUAACGGCUCACCAAGGCAAAGAUGUCUAGCGGGUGUGAGAGCACGACCCGCGCCACUGGCACUGAGACACUGGCCAGACACCUACGGGUGGCUGCAGUCGAGGAUCUUCGGCAAUGGGCGCAAGCCUGACCGGGCGACGCCGCGUGGACGAUGAAGGCCUUCGGGUUGUAAAGUCCUGUCGAGGGGGAGGAAGGCGCAAGCUUGACCUAUCCCUGGAGGAAGCACGGGCUAAGUUCGUGCCAGCCGCCGCGGUAA